rnacentral:rRNA from 1 species
AUUGAACGCUGGCGGAAUGCUUUACACAUGCAAGUCGAACGGCAGCACGGACUUCGGUCUGGUGGCGAGUGGCGAACGGGUGAGUAAUAUAUCGGAACGUGCCCAGUCGUGGGGGAUAACGUAGUGAAAAUUACGCUAAUACCGCAUACGAUCUAAGGAUGAAAGCGGGGGAUCGCAAGACCUCGCGCGAUUGGAGCGGCCGAUAUCAGAUUAGGUAGUUGGUGGGGUAAAGGCUCACCAAGCCAACGAUCUGUAGCUGGUCUGAGAGGACGACCAGCCACACUGGAACUGAGACACGGUCCAGACUCCUACGGGAGGCAGCAGUGGGGAAUUUUGGACAAUGGACGCAAGUCUGAUCCAGCCAUUCCGCGUGCAGGAUGAAGGCCCUCGGGUUGUAAACUGCUUUUGUACGGAACGAAAAGGUUUCCAUUAAUACCUGGGGCUCAUGACGGUACCGUAAGAAUAAGCACCGGCUAACUACGUG